rnacentral:rRNA from 1 species
UACGAAGGGGGCUAGCGUUGCUCGGAAUCACUGGGCGUAAAGCGCACGUAGGCGGAUUGCUAAGUCAGGGGUGAAAUCCUGGAGCUCAACUCCAGAACUGCCUCUGAUACUGGCGAUCUUGAGUCCGGGAGAGGUGAGUGGAACUGCGAGCGUAGAGGUGAAAUUCGUAGAUAUUCGCAAGAACACCAGUGGCGAAGGCGGCUCACUGGCCCGGUACUGACGCUGAGGUGCGAAAGCGUGGGGAGCAAACAGG